GGGUUGUGAGGUUAAGCGACUAAGCGUACACGGUGGAUGCCCUGGCAGUCAGAGGCGAUGAAGGGCGUGCUAAUCUGCGAUAAGCGUCGGUAAGGUGAUAUGAACCGUUAUACCCGACGAUACCCGAAUGGGGAAACCCAGUGUGCUCCGGCACAUUAUCAUGUCAUGAAUACAUAGUGGCAUGAGGCGAACCGGGGGAACUGAAACAUCUAAGUACCCCGAGGAAAAGAAAUCAACCGAGAUUCCCCCAGUAGCGGCGAGCGAACGGGGAGGAGCCCGGAGUCUGAAUCAGCAUGUGUGUUAGUGGAAGCGUCUGGAAAGUCGCGCGAUACAGGGUGAAAGUCCCGUACACAAAAGCGCAGGUGUUGUGAACUCGAAGAGUAGGGCGGGACACGUGGUAUCCUGUCUGAAUAUGGGGGGACCAUCCUCCAAGGCUAAAUACUCCUGACUGACCGAUAGUGAACCAGUACCGUGAGGGAAAGGCGAAAAGAAC
rnacentral:rRNA from 1 species